UGCCAGGUCAGCAGUCUGGCUGGAGCUCGGACGUGGCUGGUCGUGCCAGGCGGUGCCAGGCACCCCAGGCAGCCCUGGAGAGGGCUUCCAAAUGCAGGUUUCGUUCUGCAGCCUGGAGGAUGCUUUGACGACUGCCUUGCGAAAGGAGACUGGGAGCUGCGUUGGUGAUUCCCAGACCAGCCACGAUGGAACGUGGAACUCUCCCAGCCGGAAGCCCUGAUGCUGCGACAAAGGGAGCCCUGGCUGCGCCCUGCUCAGGGCAGCAGGCGUGGACUGCAAACUCAGAAACACAGAAGGGACUCACGAGACAUUCAUCAUCAUGUAUUUUGGCACCGGUGCUUGUCACACUGAGAAGGACUGGCAGAAGCCCAGGAGACAAUGAAUAUGCAACACUGAACUUUUUUCAUUCAAAUGACAUGGCAUCCUUUAGAUGCACCCUCUGACCCUCAGUAUAACACGUGUCUGAGAAAGCACAACUCUCUCUCUAGUUCUUCCUGCAAUUUCAAAAUCUGAAGUCACGUAGAUCUGCUGAGGCUACCGCAAAGUGUUCAGAUCUGACACCCUAAGUGAACUAAAAAAAGUUCCAAAAGAGUUUAUUGUUUAAACUGUGCAACUCGUUCUCUGGCCUGGAUAAUGUUAUUGAUUUUUUAUGACUUUGGUUUUCUUAUUUGCAUUUUCCAGAUUUGGUUGCAAUUUGAUGUUAAUUUUUUCAGAUGAAUAAUCUUAAUGGGUUAUACAUUUUUCUUGAUUAAUUGCUAAACUACUAGUGUUGCAUUUGAGUAAUUACUAAAAGCAAUUAAAAGUUAAAAGAAAGAGAUAAAUCCUUCGAGAAGUCCACACCUGAGCCAAAGCAAUUCAAGGUCAUGGGAUCUCCACGAUUAUGUUUUGAAAUAAACACAGAAUAUGUUC